UUAGCUCUUUCCCUUACUGUACUGUCUCAAAAGGGAAACUGCUGAGACAAGAUCUUUCGGGAAUGAAGUGGCUGCCUAUACUACAAAUGAGGAAACAAAGAUAAGUGUCACCCACGUGUAACUCCUGGGGAGAUGACUCAUUUCCAGCUGGAUUGUUUUGGGUCAGAACUUCCAAGCCAACAGUUUUCAGUGUGGAGUUAGAAAAUCAGAUUUGAUGCAGACUCUGCAAGUUGGAGAUAACAAGAUUGACCUCAAGAUACAGAGUUAGUUUCCAUAGCAAUGAGAUCUAUGAGUUCUCAAAAUAUUCAAGCCUCUAUUAGGCUAGAUAAAAAUAAUUUCCUUACAUAAGGGCGUGCCAGAUCUCAUCCAGCAAAGCACUUGAAUUUAAGCACAAGACUGUUUCUGGGGCUAUAUGACCGUGACAACCCCCCUCUGACCUUUGGCUUGCUGGAUGGGUCCGGAGACAAGACUUGAACCACUAGAAAUUCUAUGAUGUAUCUAUGGAGGAUUGCCUGGCAGAGAUCCCCCCCAGGAGCGAUGCUGCUGUCACACGAUGCUGCUGCAGUGUUGUUCAAUUAAGGGCAGUCAGCAAGAAGAGUCCAAAGCACUUUCCAUGAUGAGUUUCUCAGGAAAAAACGCUUUCCCCCGGAAAAGAACACUCCUAAGAGUGAAUAAUCCCCUAUCAACAACAAUUUUACCAUUAACUUCACGAUAUUAGAUUUAAAAAAAUAGACUAUCUCUUUGAUAGAAUACCUGAGUAUAAUGUGCUGCUCUGUUUUUUCUUGUAAGGAUCUGUUAAAAUGAGAAAAUGUUCUGAGAGUGGUUGAUGUGUGUGUACGUAGCCACCUGUGCCAGUCCAUUACCCUUACCAGCUGAAAAUUAGUGGUAAUCUGGAAUCAGGGCAAAUGGUUUUGACUCUGCUUUUUCAGGAAGCCUGAAUACAUUUUAUUCUCUCCUACUCUCAGAAAUGGCCAGCAGGGCUAUUAAAUAAUAUUUGUUCUGAAAAACGUGAACAAGGAGCAAUCACAACAUUUCGUAGAGCAAAAACUGGAAUUGAAUUGCUAGGAAUAGACUUAAAACAUCAAAGGGAAAUCUUUUUCAUGGUUCAUAGCUAAAUUGAGUCACCUUUUGCUGCAAAGAGGCUGUAAAGCAAAAAUUGUGAAUGAGAUUUCAUAGCAAUUUUGGAAAGGAUAUUAGAUUAUGUGUGUUCUUAAUCUGACCCUAAACUGCAAUAUGUAUAUUCCCGUGACUUAUAACUCAAUAGCAGAAGCUUCUGCAGUGUGUGACUAAAGUACAGACUCACAUAUUUAGUGAAGUUGAAACAUAGGUACUGUGUUUUAAUACAGUGUAUGUUAUCUAAAUAUUCUUUGUAGUAUUUUAGCACUUAAGAAGGAGAAUAUUGAAGUCAUUCAUACAGUUACAGUCAUUGCAAGACACAAAUGCAAUGAAAUUCAUUGGUCUCUAAAUUUGUAUUACUCAGAAAACAUUGUUAGUGUGAAUUGAUAUGCAGACAACUGCUUUAAUUGAAAUGCAGGCUCCAAGACAAAUUUAGGUUCAGUUCAUAAAGGUUUUUU